rnacentral:misc_RNA from 1 species
GCAGUCUCAUCUAUCAUGAAGAAAAUGUUUACGAGUUCAGGCAGGAUGACACCACUGACCUCCGGCUGAAGGAUGAUGAUUAUGAUGCUCACUUUGUUCGGUUAAAUGGACAUGACAUGAAUGACACCGAUUCGGGGAAAGAUUAAGAGACAUCAAGAACAAAGAGUUUACCCCAGUACGUCGAAAACCAUCUAUGAGAAUGAAUUACGACAGCAUUAUGAGUCAGCAGAAAUAGGGAGAUCGGAGAAUUGGCCCGAUGUGUACAUUUCUGAUAAUUACAGCCAAAGGGAGGCAACUCAAAUACGGACAAACCCUGUUUAUGCUAACACAAAUUCAAGAGGUCAGUAUGUCUCACUACAAGAAAUAAAUGAGUCAACAAGGGACCGACCUCUAAACUUGGAGGAAUAUGUCAUACCAAAAAAUAGUGUUCCCGUGCACCAACAGAAUGGGAUUGACACCGUGGACACUGUCAUUGAGACGGAAGUAGAGGAACCAGUCUAUAGCAAGGUCAACAAGAAGAAGGUGGAGAAGACCAGAACCACCAGUAACGGCUCCAUGACCCCGGAGGAAGAGGAGGUAAUCCAGGACUUCCAGGAGCAGCUGAAGAUGCUGGAAGACAGGCAGUCACAUCUCAGCAACCGAGCCGUAAUACAGAUCGACCAAUCCAAGAAAGAAUCUGAUGGCAAGAAGGGGACGUGGUCACGUCUCAAAUCUAAACUGAAAGGCAGCGUUAGAAAAAAAAAGAAAGGCACUGACCAGUCUCGCCCUCCCCUGCUGACCCAGGCCAGUAUUGACCCCAACAAGAUGGCCAUCCUCAAGAGAAACGCUAAGGAGAAGUUGCCAGAGAACGAGAGCAAUGAAGUCAUCAGGCUGGUGGAAUCAUACCAUGAGAACAAGGAUCUGGACUCGCUGGUGAAGGCACUCCUGAAGAUACUGGACAAGCCAGAAAAGAUGCUUCUCCUCAGGGAUGUCAGGGGUGUUAUCUACCCGUACCACAUAGCACGCUUUGACAAUAUGGUCAACUUCUAUGAGAUAGAGCGAUACGAAGAUUUAUCUACCAAGCUGCAUCUGCCACUUCGUCAUCGAGAGAGUAUUAAGGAUCGGCCCAAGAAACAGCUCAUGACCACCGUGUUGGAUGAAAACGGUCACUUCCACAUCAAGACAGUAGAUCAGCAUGAGCAGGAUAAGAGGACAGCGUCCAAGGUUCUAGAGACCAUGAAGAGUCACUCAAGUUUCGACAAUCCCCAUCACGAUGCGGUCAAACCAGUUGCAGUCACACCCGUUGCAUCCCCACCAGUUGCGACGAAACCGAUCCAUCUCAAGGAGACGUCCGCCAUAACGUCAGAACACAAACCAACCAGUCCACAGCCGAUCCACUGGGUAAAGCUCAACCACGUCGCUGACAGUGGGCAGAAGUCUCCACUUGAGAGGGGGCCUUAUCGGUCAAGUUUUUCUACCACUUCGUAUCGAUGAAGUGCUAGUUGACACUGCAGCUGCAGAUGAAGAAAAACUCCAGCCUGGUGUGACGUUGAUAUCAGUGGACAGUCAGAGUCUCAAUGGGUUCAGUGUGGAUGACGGAGAGGAGCUGCUGGAGAAGGCCUUCAACAGCAAGGCCACCACCAUGGUGAAGCUGGAGAUUAACACGGACAAGCGUACUGCUUGACUCCCUAGAGUCUUCACCAACAAACAGUCGGACAACUUCAGCGGGCUGAAAUAAUGUGGUCUAACAUGUAUGGAAAAGUUACUGUUAAUUGUUUUUCCCUCGUUAGAUGAGGAUGAAAAUAAAAAACAACCUUUUCAAAAGGAGACUAAAACUUGAGACAUUUUAGACACCUUCAUUUGUCUAAUUCCUGUGUCCAUGUAUUUUUGUGACCAAGGUGAAGGUCAUUUUAGCCAUUGCACAGUGUUAGACUAUGGUGAUGUUACAUGAGGCAUCAGAGAAUAGAAUGCACCAUCAGUGAUCAAGAGAGCCAUGUUGUUUAGAGACAUUAUCAGAGUGGCCUCCAUGUGAUAUCUGAUUUAUUCCCAACAUGGGGUAUAAACAUCUAUGUUUGACAUGACCUAAUGUGUAUUGUACUACCCCACAACCAGACUAUGUGUGUCAACCCAUCCUUGGGGUGUAAACCAUCCUGUGUGUCAACCCAUCCUAGGGGUGUAAACCAUCCUGUGUGUCAACCAACCCAGGUGUGUCAACCAGCCUGGGUGCAUGUAAUAUAUAUCCUUCAAGCAGCCUGUGUGUCAACCAACCAAUGUGUGUAAUACAUAUCCUGCAAGUAGCCUUUGUGCCAUCCAACCAAUGUAUAUCAACCAACUAAUGUAUGUCAACCAACCAAUGUAUGUCAACCAACCAAUGUGUGUCAACCAACCAGUGUGUGCGUAAUACAUAUCCUUCAAGCAGCUUGAGUGCCAUUUAACCCAUGUGUGUCAAUCCCUCCCAUGUGUGUCAUCAAAAACGUGUGUCAAUCUACCACAUCCAUGUGUCUUAACUUACCGGGUAAGUAAGAAGUGUAACCCAACCUGCCUUUGUUAUCUCACAGUGUAACAAUGAAACCCUCCCUGUGUUAUCCCAAGCAAUGUAACACUUCCUUCAAGUGUUUUAUCCAACAUGGUGUCAUACUGUAACCCUCCCCAUCUGCAUGUUAUCCAACACCUCAUUAUCUGUGUUAUCCAACCUGGUAUAACAGUGCCUUCCCUACACAUGUUAUCGAACAUGGUGUAACAGUGUAACCCUUCCUGUGUAUUAUCCAACACCGUGUAAAUCUGUAACCUUACUAGUGUGUUAUCCUACACAGUAUAGCCUUCCUACAUGUGUUAUCAAUAUCAUACAUAGUGUAACAGUGUAAACCCAUUGUACAAGUACUUAGAGUAUGAGAGAAACAGUAGUAAAAUCCUAGCAACAGUAUAUGGUGAUCAAGUGUUACUAUGGUGAUGACAUGUACAGUGGUUUUAAGAGUUACCAUAGUGACAACUUGUACAAGGUCUUCUGUUGCCAUAGUCAUGUGUAGAGGAUGAGUCGAAACAAGACGUAAGUUGGUGUGAAGAAAGAGUACAUGGUAGGAAGACUUUACUUCAGUGACCAGACAACGUGUACCAGGUUCUGGAGGGUACAAACCAUCGCCCAACAGUGAGAGAAUGAACCCAUGGUACCAGCUGGACCACACAUCACACCACGUCUCCUAUGUGUCAGGAGGCUUGGGUCCAACAUAAGCAGCUUUGUAACCAUAUUUCCUGAAUUCCAGAGACCGUGUAUCUAGUGUCAGUUUCUUAACGUACCUGGGACCAUUGGCAAGAAAAUAUGUUCUGUAAUAGAUUAUGAAAGAUGAAUCAUCAUUAUUCCACAACUGAAAAAACAAGAAAAUCCUGUCAUCUACUGGUAUCGGCUUGUUGGUGGUGUGUUUUUUAUACAUCUAAAAAGGAAUACUACCAAAUCAUGCAGAUUUGUAUUAUUUGUUGAAAACCAGAAAUGAAAAUUUGUCGUGUUUGGAAACUGUAGUGAAUCUGUGAAGGUGGUUGAGCCUUGUGAAGAUGAAUCAUGAAUCAUGUACAUGAAUCACAUGUUAAUACAUUCCAUGUUAACUGAUAUAGCAUUAUUGUCUUGAAAAGUGUGAUGUAUCGUACUAAUUAGCAGAUAUUAAUGACAUAUACUGAACAAAACAGGGAUCAUAAAUAUCUUGGGAAAUAUUUUUAUAAACUUUUGUGAUCAGGUUUCACUACAAAGUCGUUUCCUCUUAAAUAUUCAUAAUUCUGUUUUUUGUUCAGGGUAUUUAUUUUUUAAGUGCAUAACUCACACAUAAGUCAUGUUUUAGGGUAUAAUGUUCUGAGUUUGAUAUUGUUCUUGUUUACUCAUCACUGAACAGGUGCUUGAGAGGAAGGUGCUGUAGAUAGUAACCAGUGUUUUCAUGUGUACAGUUUUAAUAGUCACAGUAGCAUGUCAGGAAUUAAUGAGAUGAUUGAAAAAUGCAGAAUUCUUCAUUUAUAUCUUUAUAUAUUAGAAACUCAUCACAAACAUUAUUGGGUGGUGUUACAGAUACGACAAGUAUGUGUAAGAAAUUCUUAUUAUGUUUUCAACAUGACUUGCGCAUCAAUCAUUCCGUGCAUGUUGUUUUAAAUAUAUUUAUUGAUUUUUAUUGAAUGUUUCUGCACAUUCCAUGAUAAUCAUUUUCAGGGUUGUGGUGUUAUUCCUUGCAAUAAAAGUCAAGGAAGUGUU